AAUCCCGUGAACCAUCGAGUCUUUGAACGCAAGUUGCGCCCGAAGCCCUCGGGCCGAGGGCACGCCUGCCUGGGCGUCACGCAUCGCGUCGCCCCCCUCCCCCGCCCCCCCUCGCGGGCGGCGGCAGCGGAGGGGUGUGCGGAGGAUGGCCCCCCGUGCGCCUCGGCGCGCGGCCGGCCC
rnacentral:rRNA from 1 species